GUGGGGUAACGGCUCACCUAGGCGACGAUCCCUAGCUGGUCUGAGAGGAUGACCAGCCACACUGGAACUGAGACACGGUCCAGACUCCUACGGGAGGCAGCAGUGGGGAAUAUUGCACAAUGGGCGCAAGCCUGAUGCAGCCAUGCCGCGUGUGUGAAGAAGGCCUUCGGGUUGUAAAGCACUUUCAGCGGGGAGGAAGGCGUUAAGGUUAAUAACCUUGGCGAUUGACGUUACCCGCAGAAGAAGCACCGGCUAACUCCGUGCCAGCAGCCGCGGUAAUACGGAGGGUGCAAGCGUUAAUCGGAAUUACUGGGCGUAAAGCGCACGCAGGCGGUCUGUCAAGUCGGAUGUGAAAUCCCCGGGCUCAACCUGGGAACUGCAUUCGAAACUGGCAGGCUAGAGUCUUGUAGAGGGGGGUAGAAUUCCAGGUGUAGCGGUGAAAUGCGUAGAGAUCUGGAGGAAUACCGGUGGCGAAGGCGGCCCCCUGGACAAAGACUGACGCUCAGGUGCGAAAGCGUGGGGAGCAAACAGGAUUAGAUACCCUGGUAGUCCACGCCGUAAACGAUGUCGAUUUGGAGGUUGUGCCCUUGAGGCGUGGCUUCCGGAGCUAACGCGUUAAAUCGACCGCCUGGGGAGUACGGCCGCAAGGUUAAAACUCAAAUGAAUUGACGGGGGCCCGCACAAGCGGUGGAGCAUGUGGUUUAAUUCGAUGCAACGCGAAGAACCUUACCUGGUCUUGACAUCCACAGAACUUUCCAGAGAUGGAUUGGUGCCUUCGGGAACUGUGAGACAGGUGCUGCAUGGCUGUCGUCAGCUCGUGUUGUGAAAUGUUGGGUUAAGUCCCGCAACGAGCGCAACCCUUAUCCUUUGUUGCCAGCGGUUCGGCCGGGAACUCAAAGGAGACUGCCAGUGAUAAACUGGAGGAAGGUGGGGAUGACGUCAAGUCAUCAUGGCCCUUACGACCAGGGCUACACACGUGCUACAAUGGCAUAUACAAAGAGAAGCGACCUCGCGAGAGCAAGCGGACCUCAUAAAGUAUGUCGUAGUCCGGAUUGGAGUCUGCAACUCGACUCCAUGAAGUCGGAAUCGCUAGUAAUCGUAGAUCAGAAUGCUACGGUGAAUACGUUCCCGGGCCUUGUACACACCGCCCGUCACACCAUGGGAGUGGGUUGCAAAAGAAGUAGGUAGCUUAACCUUCGGGAGGGCGCUUACCACUUUGUGAUUCAUGACUGGGGUGAAGUCGUAACAAGGUAACCGUAGGGGAACCUGCGGUUGGAUCACCUCCUU
rnacentral:rRNA from 1 species